UUCGAUAUACCAGAUAAAAGAUUACCCAAAUCCAUUGAAAUCACUCAUAAUAUUUCCAAUGACUCCAGAUUACCUUCGUUAUACAAAUGAAGAUAAAUUGUAAGACAAACUAAAUAAUAAUCAUAAUAAAAAACAACAAAUAGUAAGUUUGAAUUUUUGGCAAUUUUUUGUCAUGGAUUUAUUAGGACAGUUCAACUAUAUAUCAACCGGC
rnacentral:lncRNA from 1 species